rnacentral:rRNA from 1 species
GACGAACCGUGCGAACGUUAUUCAGAAUCACUAAGCUUAAAGCGCGUGUAGGCGGAUGGGGACGUCGGUCGCUGAAAUCCCCCGGCUCAACCGGGGAACUGGCGCCGAAACGCCCCGUCUGGAAGGACGUAAAAAAACCUGGAACUUCCGAUGGAGCGGUGAAAUGCGUUGAGAUCGGAAGGAACGCCCGUGGCGAAAGCGAGGUCCUGAACGUCUUCUGACGCUGAGACGCGAAAGCUAGGGUAGCGAACAGG